rnacentral:rRNA from 1 species
CCUACGUGAGGCAGCAGUGAGGAAUAUUGGUCAAUGGACGAGAGUCUGAACCAGCCAAGUAGCGUGAAGGAUGACUGCCCUAUGGGGUGUAACCUUCUUUUAUAAGGGAAUAAAAUGUGCCACGUGUGGGAUUUUGUAUGUACCAUAUGAAUAAGGAUCGGCUAACUCCGUGCCAGCAGCCGCGGUAAUACGGAGGAUCCGAGCGUUAUCCGGAUUUAUUGGGUUUAAAGGGAGUGUAGGUGGAUGUUUAAGUCAGUUGUGAAUGUUUGCGGCUCAACCGUACAAUUGCAGGUGAAACUGGCAGUCUUGAGUACAGUAGAGGUGGGCGGAAUUCGUUGUGUAGCGGUGAAAUGCUUAGAUAGCACGAAGAACUCCGAUUGCGAAGGCAGCUCACUGGACUGCAACUGACACUGAGGCUCGAAAGUGUGGGUAUCAAACAGGAUUAGAUACCCGGGUAGUC